rnacentral:rRNA from 1 species
UCUUUCAAGUCCGAUGCUAAAGACUGGGGCUCAACCCGAGGGGUGCGUUGGAUACUGUGAGGCUAGACGGUCGGAGGGGGUAGCGGAAUUUCCGGAGUAGCGGUGAAAUGCGCAGAUACCGGAAGGAACGCCAAUAGCGAAGGCAGCUACCUGGACGACUUGUGACGCUGAGGCGCGAAAGCGUGGGGAGCAAACCGGAUUAGAUACCCGGGUAGUCCACGCCCUAAACCAUGAGUGCUGGGUGUCCGGCUUCUGCUGGGUGCCGUAGCUAACGCGCUAAGCACUCCGCCUGGGAAGUACGCACGCAAGUGUGAAACUCAAAGGAAUUGACGGGGGCCCGCACAAGCGGUGGAGCAUGUGGUUUAAUUCGAAGCGACGCGAAGAACCUUACCAGGCCUUGACAUGCCCGGAACCCCUCUGAAAGGAGGGGGUGCCCGCAAGGGAGCCGGGACACAGGUGCUGCAUGGCCGUCGUCAGCUCGUGUCGUGAGAUGUUGGGUUAAGUCCCGCAACGAGCGCAACCCCUAUCCCUAGUUGCCAGCAGUUCGGCUGGGCACUCUAUGGAGACUGCCUGCGAAAGCAGGAGGAAGGCGGGGAUGACGUCUGGUCCGCAUGGCCCUUACGGCCUGGGCGACACACGUGCUACAAUGCCAAGGACAGAGCGCUGCUACCUCGCGAGAGGACGCCAAUCGCAAAAACCUUGGCUCAGUUCGGAUUGGAGUCUGCAACUCGACUCCAUGAAGCCGGAA